rnacentral:rRNA from 1 species
GACGUAGGGCGCGAGCGUUGUCCGGAUUUAUUGGGCGUAAAGAGCUCGUAGGUGGCCUGUCGCGUCGGCUGUGAAAACUCGGGGCUCAACUCCGAGCUUGCAGUCGAUACGGGCAGGCUAGAGUUCGGCAGGGGGAGACUGGAAUUCCUGGUGUAGCGGUGAAAUGCGCAGAUAUCAGGAGGAACACCGGUGGCGAAGGCGGGUCUCUGGGCCGAUACUGACACUGAGGAGCGAAAGCGUGGGGAGCGAACAGG